AACGAACGCUGGCGGCAUGCCUAACACAUGCAAGUCGAACGAGACCUUCGGGUCUAGUGGCGCACGGGUGCGUAACGCGUGGGAACCUGCCCUUAGGUUCGGAAUAACUCCCCGAAAGGGGUGCUAAUACCGGAUAAUGUCUUCGGACCAAAGAUUUAUCGCCUUUGGAUGGGCCCGCGUUGGAUUAGCUAGUUGGUAGGGUAAAAGCCUACCAAGGCGACGAUCCAUAGCUGGUCUGAGAGGAUGAUCAGCCACACUGGGACUGAGACACGGCCCAGACUCCUACGGGAGGCAGCAGUGGGGAAUAUUGGACAAUGGGCGAAAGCCUGAUCCAGCAAUGCCGCGUGAGUGAUGAAGGCCUUAGGGUUGUAAAGCUCUUUUACCCGAGAUGAUAAUGACAGUGCCGGGAGAAUAAGCUCCGGCUAACUCCGU
rnacentral:rRNA from 1 species